AUUGAACGCUGGCGGCAUGCCUCUACACAGUUUUAAGUCGAACGGCAGCGCGGCCAGCAAUCCUCGCGGCGAGUGGCGAACGGGUGAGUAAUACCGAACGUGCCCAAUCGUGGGGGAUAACGCAGCGAAAGCUGUGCUAAUACCGCAUACGAUCUACGGAUGAAAGCAGGGUGAUCGCAAGACCUUGCGCGAAUGGAGCGGCCGAUGGCAGAUUAGGUAGUUGGUGAGGUAAAGGCUCACCAAGCCUUCGAUCUGUAGCUGGUCUGAGAGGACGAACAGCCACACUGGGACUGAGACACGGCCAGACUCCUACGGGAAGGCAGCAGUGGGGAAUUUUGGACAAAUGGGCGAAAGCCUGAUCCAGACCAUGCCAGCGUGACAGAUGAAGAGCCUUCGGGGUUGUAAACUGCUUUUGUACGGAAACGAAAACGGUCUUUUUUCUUAAUACAGAAGCGCUAAUGACGGUUACCGUAAGAAUUAUAGCCACCACGGGCGUUAAAACUAACGGUGCCCCA
rnacentral:rRNA from 1 species